rnacentral:rRNA from 1 species
AACGAACGCUGGCGGCGUGGCUAAGACAUGCAAGUCGAACGCGAACUCCCGGCUUGCCGGGAUAGUAGAGUGGCGAACGGGUGAGGAAUACAUGGGCAACGUACCCCGGGCACAGGGAUAGCCCCGAGAAAUCGGGAGUAAUACCUGAUGAGACCACGGUGUCAUAAGGCACAGCGGUCAAAGGGCGGGGACCCCGCACCUAAAUCACUUUCAGCCCACGUUGUUGGGUUGAUGGAUUCGAGAGUGAUUUAGGUGCGGGACCUGUCGGCCUGGGAGCGGCCCAUGUGCUAUCAGCUUGUUGGUGAGGUAACGGCUCACCAAGGCUACGACGGCUACCGGGACUGAGAGGUUGGCCCGGCACAUCGGGACUGAGACACUGCCCGGACUCCUACGGGAGGCUGCAGUAACGAAUAUUGGACAAUGAGCGCAAGCUGGAUCCAGCGACGCCGCGUGCAGGAGGAAGCCCUUCGGGGUGUAAACUGCUGUCAGGGAUUACCAAGCAAAGGGGCCUAAUACGUCCCCGCGUUGAGGCGUCCCAGAGGAAGUCACGGCUAACUUCGUGCCAGCAGCCGCGGUAAGACGAAGGUGGCGAGCGUUGUUCGGAAUCACUGGGCUUAAAGAGCACGUAGGCGGCCUGUCAAGCGUCAGGUGAAAUCCCUCGGCCCAACCGAGGAACUGCAAGGCGAACUGACAGGCUUGAGGCAGGUAGGGGCGAGUGGAACUCUUGGUGGAGCGGUGGAAUGCGUAGAUAUCAAGAGGAACGCCGGAGGUGAAGACGACUCGCUGGGCCUGUCCUGACGCUGAGGUGCGAAAGCCAGGGGAGCGAACGGGAUUAGAUACCCCGGUAGUCCUGGCCCUAAACGAUGUCCACUAGGUUGAAGGUCUUCUGACAGGGCUUCGGCCGAAACAAAAGCGUUAAGUGGACCGCCUGGGGAGUACGGUCGCAAGGCUAAAACUCAAAGGAAUUGACGGGUGCUCACACAAGCGGUGGAGCAUGUUGCUUAAUUCGAUGCAACGCGAAGAACCUUAUCCUGGGUUUGACAUGUACGGAUGCCUACCGGGAAACCGGGUCGGCUGCCUUCGGGUGAAACGUAUGCAGGUGCUGCAUGGCUGUCGUCAGCUCGUGUCGUGAGAUGUUGGGUUAAGUCCCGUAACGAGCGAAACCCUUGUCGCUAGUUGCCAGCGCGUAAUGGCGGGGACUCUAGCGAGACUGCCGGUGUUAAACCGGAGGAAGGUGGGGACGACGUCAAGUCCUCAUGGCCUUUAUACCCAGGGCUGCAAACGUGCUACAAUGACCGGUACAAACCGACGCGAGACCGCAAGGUGGAGCAAAUCGGAAAAAACCGGCCCCAGUUCGGAUUGGAGUCUGCAACUCGACUCCAUGAAGUUGGAAUCGCUAGUAAUCGCGUAUCAGCUAUGGCGCGGUGAAUGAGUUCCUGAGCAUUGUACACACCGCCCGUCAAGUCAUGGAAGCCGGUAGCGCCCGAAGUCGCCCCGAUUCAGGAGCGCCGAAGGUGAGAUCGGUAACUGGGACU